CAAAAACAUGUCCGCUAGGAGAUAUUAGUGGUCAGGCCUGCUCACUGACUCGAAAGGUUUAAGAGCCGCGGUAUUUUGACCGUGCAAAGGUAGCAUAAUCAUUAGUUUUUUAAUUGGAAGCUAGAAUGAAUGGUUUGACAAAGGAAAUACUGUCUCUGUGUUACAAAUAGAAUUUAACUUUUAAGUGAAAAGGCUUAAGUGUUUCAGGGGGACGAUAAGACCCUAUAAAGCUUUAUGUGCUGUUUAAAUUUGGUUAGAUUAGAAAUUUUAAGGCCGAGUUUAAAUUAGUUUAUUUUGUUGGGGCGACAAAGAUAUAAAUUUGAGUAACUGUUGUUUAGAAAGAGACAAGAAUGAUUGAAUUAAUUGUAAAAGAUCCUUAUUAAAGAUUAGAAGAAUAAGUUACUUUAGGGAUAACAGCGUAAUUUCUUUUGAGAGCCCAUAUCGAAAAAGAAGAUUGCGACCUCGAUGUUGAAUUAAGGUUUCUUUAUUGUGCAGCAGCAAUAAAAGAAGGUCUGUUCGACCUUUAAACUCUUACAUGAUUUGAGUUCAGACCGGUGUGAGC
rnacentral:rRNA from 1 species